rnacentral:rRNA from 1 species
AGCGAACGCUGGCGGCAGGCCUAACACAUGCAAGUCGAGCGCCCCGCAAGGGGAGCGGCAGACGGGAGAGUAACACGUGGGGACGUACCCUUCAGUUCGGAACAACCCAGGGAAACUUGGGCUAAUACCGGAUAAGCCCUCACGGGGAAAGAUUUAUCGCCGAAGGAUCGGCCCGCGUCUGAUUAGCUAGUUGGUGGGGUAAUGGCCCACCAAGGCGACGAUCAGUAGCUGGUCUGAGAGGAUGAUCAGCCUCACUGGGACUGAGACACGGCCCAGACUCCUACGGGAGGCAGCAGUGGGGAAUAUUGGACAAUGGGCGCAAGCCUGAUCCAGCCAUGCCGCGUGGGUGAUGAAGGCCCUAGGGUUGUAAAGCCCUUUCGGCGGGGAAGAUAAUGACGGUACCCGCAGAAGAAGCCCCGGCUAACUUCGUGCCAGCAGCCGCGGUAAUAC